rnacentral:rRNA from 1 species
AACGAACGCUGGCGGCAGGCUUAACACAUGCAAGUCGAGCGCCCCGCAAGGGGAGCGGCAGACGGGUGAGUAACGCGUGGGAAUCUACCCGUCUCUACGGAAUAACGCAUGGAAACGUGUGCUAAUACCGUAUACGUCCUUCGGGAGAAAGAUUUAUCGGAGAUGGAUGAGCCCGCGUUGGAUUAGCUAGUCGGUGGGGUAAAGGCCUACCAAGGCGACGAUCCAUAGCUGGUCUGAGAGGAUGAUCAGCCACACUGGGACUGAGACACGGCCCAGACUCCUACGGGAGGCAGCAGUGGGGAAUAUUGGACAAUGGGCGCAAGCCUGAUCCAGCCAUGCCGCGUGAGUGAUGAAGGCCCUAGGGUUGUAAAGCUCUUUCACCGGUGAAGAUAAUGACGAUAACCGGAGAAGAAGCCCCGGCUAACUUCGUGCCAGCCGCCGCCGUAAGAC